UACGGGGGGGGCAAGCGUUGUUCGGAAUUACUGGGCGUAAAGGGCUCGUAGGCGGCCAACUAAGUCGGACGUGAAAUCCCUCGGCUCAACCGGGGAACUGCGUCCGAUACUGGAUGGCUUGAAUCCGGGAGAGGGAUGCGGAAUUCCAGGUGUAGCGGUGAAAUGCGUAGAUAUCAGGAGGAACACCGGUGGCGAAGGCGGCAUCCUGGACCGGCAUUGACGCUGAGGAGCGAAAGCCAGGGGAGCAAACGGG
rnacentral:rRNA from 1 species